GACGAACGCUGGCGGCGUGCUUAACACAUGCAAGUCGAACGGCAAGGCCCUGCUUUUGUGGGGUGCUCGAGUGGCGAACGGGUGAGUAACACGUGAGUAACCUGCCCUUGACUUUGGGAUAACUUCAGGAAACUGGGGCUAAUACCGGAUAGGAGCUCCUGCUGCAUGGUGGGGGUUGGAAAGUUUCGGCGGUUGGGGAUGGACUCGCGGCUUAUCAGCUUGUUGGUGGGGUAGUGGCUUACCAAGGCUUUGACGGGUAGCCGGCCUGAGAGGGUGACCGGCCACAAUGGGACUGAGAGACGGCCCAGACGCCAACGGGAGGCAGCAGUGGGGAAUAUUGCACAAUGGGCGGAAGCCUGAUGCAGCAACGCCGCGUGCGGGAUGACGGCCUUCGGGUUGUAAACCGCUUUCGCCUGUGACGAAGCGUGAGUGACGGUAAUGGGUAAAGAAGCACCGGCUAACUACGUG
rnacentral:rRNA from 1 species